GGCCAAACAGCUAGCUCACAUGAAUCAAAAACAAACCACCAUUAUUAUUACCCCCAAAUGCACAACAACCAACAACUCUAAACCAUUUUCUUCCUCAGUACGGGAGACGGAAAAGGAAACUUUGAAGCCAUAGACAUGUACCGCAAGGGAAUGCUGAAACAGAAAUGAAACAAUUCAGUCAAGCCCAAGAAAGCAGAGACUAUAACUCGUACCUUUUGCAUCAUGAUUUAGCAAGAAAGAACUAAGCGAAAAGACUUGCAGUCUAGUACCCCGAAACUAAGUGAGCUACUCCAAGACAGCCUUGUCAAUAGGGCAAAUCCGUCUCUGUCGCAAAAGAGUGGAAAGAGCUUUGAGUAGAGGUGAAAAGCCUAUCGAACUUAGCUAUAGCUGGUUGCCUGAGAACUGAAUAGAAGUUCAGCCCUUUAUGAUUCUUACUUCACCCUGAAUUUUUCAUUUAAAGAUAAAAGAACCUUAAAGGAGUUAAUCAAAGGAGGUACAGCUCCUUUGAUAAGGAUACAACCUUCCCAACAGGAUUCAGACCAUAUCUAUAAAGAUAUAUCCUCUAGUGGGCUUAAAAGCAGCCACCCAAAAAUGAAAGCGUCAAAGCUCAGGAAGUAUUUUUAAACUUAAAUCCCGACCUCAUAAAUCUAAAUCCGUUAUUUACCAUCAGGCUAUUCCACACUUGUGGAAGCAAUACUGCUAAAAUGAGUAAUAAGAGAGCCUGCCUCUCUCCGCGCACACGUGUACAUCGGAACGAACCCACACCGAAAAUUAACGGCCCCAAAACCAAGAGGGUACUGGACCACAUUCAUUUCAACUAGAAAAACCCCCCACAACACACCGUUUAACCCACACUGGUGUGCCCCCCGGAAAGACAAAAAGAGAAAGAAGGAACUCGGCAAACAUCUUUACUUAAGCCUCGCCUGUUUACCAAAAACAUCGCCUCUUGCAAAUCACCUAUAAGAGGUCCCGCCUGCCCGGUGACUAUAUGUUUAACGGCCGCGGUAUUUUGACCGUGCAAAGGUAGCGCAAUCACUUGUUUUUUAAAUGGAGACCUGUAUGAAUGGCACCACGAGGGCUUAACUGUCUCCUUUCUCCUGUCAAUGAAAUUGAUCUCCCCGUGCAGAAGCGGGGAUAAUUACAUAAGACGAAAAGACCCUUUGGAGCUUCAGGCUAUAGACAGCCUAUGUUAAACAACCUACCACACCAGACAAAACAAUUAAGCCCUGCUCUACAUGCCUUUGGUUGGGGCGACCACGGGGAAAUAAAAAACCCCCACAUGGACCUGGAGGAGGUCCCCAUACCCUCCAUACAACCUAGAGAUACAUCUCUAAGUAACAGAACUUCUGACCAAUUACAGGAUCCGGUAUUAACCGAUUAAUGAACCUAGUUACCCUAGGGAUAACAGCGCAAUCCCCUUUUAGAGCCCUUAUCGACAAGGGGGUUUACGACCUCGAUGUUGGAUCAGGACAUCCUAUUGGUGUAGCCGCUAUUAAGGGUUUGUUUGUUCAACAAUUAAAGUCCUACGUGAUCUGAGUUCAGACCGGAGCAAUCCAGGUCAGUUUCUAUCUAUGAUAUUAUCCUUUUCCAGUACGAAAGGACCCAAAAGGAGAGGCCAAUGCCCAACGCACGCCCCACCCUCAUCUAGUGAAAUCAGCUCAACUAGACAAAAGGAAAUGCUUUUUACUAAAGCCUGAGAAAAAGGCUG
rnacentral:rRNA from 1 species